rnacentral:rRNA from 1 species
UACCAGCACCCCGAGUGGUCGGGACGAUUAUUGGGCCUAAAGCAUCCGUAGCCGGUUCUACAAGUCUUCCGUUAAAUCCACCUGCUUAACAGAUGGGCUGCGGAGGAUACUAUAGAGCUAGGAGGCGGGAGAGGCAAGCGGUACUUAGUGGGUAGGGGUAAAAUCCGUUGAUCCAUUGAAGACAACCAGUGGCGAAGGCGGCUUGCCAGAACGCACUCGACGGUGAGGGAUGAAAGCUGGGGGAGCAAACCGG